rnacentral:rRNA from 1 species
UUGAAAGGGAAACGAUUGAAGUCAGUCAUACCAACGGGAAAUCAACCUUUUGAGCUCGGUCUCGUGGGUUUUGAAGAGUUACAAAGCCUUCGGAUUCGCGGGAUUGGGAUCUCUCGGUGUACUUUUUCGUACGGUUAGUCAACAUCGGUUUGAAUGUCAUUAAAUGACUGGAGGAAUGUGCAUCCGAUCUCGUAGGGAAGUGUUAUAGCCUUUGGUAGAUGUGAUGUUUGAGACCGAGGAUUGCAACGGAUACCCUUCAGGGCUAUUCGUCUGAUCUCUGAUACGUUGCCUUGAUGUCGAAAGCUUGCUUAUGAUGUUAGGGUAUUACGGUCAAAGGUUAGAACGAAUUACAUUCGUUAAGGAUGUUGACGUA